rnacentral:rRNA from 1 species
GACGAACGCUGGCGGCGCGCUUAACACAUGCAAGUCGAGCGAUGAAAUCUUGACAGAUCCCUUCGGGGUGAAGAUAAGAUGGAUUAGCGGCGGACGGGUGAGUAACACGUGAGUAACCUGCCUUAGACAUUGGGAUAGCCUCGGGAAACCGGGAUUAAUACCAAAUGAAAUCAUAGGUGCCCAUGCACUAAUGAUCAAAACUCCGGUGGUCUAAGAUGGACUCGCGUCCCAUUAGCUAGUUGGUGAGGUAACGGCCCACCAAGGCGACGAUGGGUAGCCGGCCUGAGAGGGUGAACGGCCACAUUGGAACUGAGAAACGGUCCAAACUCCUACGGGAGGCAGCAGUGGGGAAUAUUGCACAAUGGAGGGAACUCUGAUGCAGCGACGCCGCGUGAACGAUGAAGGCUUUCGAGUCGUAAAGUUCUUUUAUAUGGGAAGAUAAUGACGGUACCAUAAGAAAAAGCCCCGGCUAACUACGUGCCAGCAGCCGCGGUAAUACGUAGGGGGCUAGCGUUGUCCGGAAUCACUGGGCGUAAAGGGUUCGCAGGCGGAAAUGCAAGUCAGAUGUAAAAGGCAGUAGCUUAACUACUGUAAGCAUUUGAAACUGCAUAUCUUGAGAAGAGUAGAGGUAAGUGGAAUUUUUAGUGUAGCGGUGAAAUGCGUAGAUAUUAAAAAGAAUACCGGUGGCGAAGGCGACUUACUGGGCCCAUUCUGACGCUGAGGAACGAAAGCGUGGGUAGCAAACAGG